GUUAGGAUGGUCGAGUGGUUUAAGGUGCCAGACUAAAGUUUUGGAUCUUGUGAGAGAGCGUGGGUUCAAAUCCCACUUCUCACA
rnacentral:tRNA from 1 species